rnacentral:lncRNA from 1 species
GCUGCUGUGAGCUGUAGUGUGGGCCACAGACGUGGCUCGGAUCCCACGUUGUUGUGGCUGUGGUGUAGGCCAGCAGCUGUACUCUGAUUCUAACCCUAGCCUGGGAACUUCCAUAUGCCGUGGAUACUGCCCUAAAAAAAGCAAAAAGGAAAAAAAAAGAAAAAAAGAAAGAAAAGAAAAAAGAAAAUGGUUCCCUCCUCUACUUUUUAAAACAUAUUUGCAUAUAAUCAGUGAACAUAACAGAUGUGAGAAAAGGAAAUAAAAAAUGAGUGCAUUCCUAAUGCUUCUGAAAUUAAGUUGAAUGAACUCAAAAACAGUAUUGAAUGGUGUGACAUAGAUUCUUUUUUAAUGUGUGCAUAAACAUGUAGGUGAAAGCAUUUUAACUUAUGUCAACUGAUUUGUAAUUCAUUCAGGAGUAGCUUUUAAGUAUAUACAAAAGUAUUUUCUGUGAAUACAGAAGUUAGAGAUGAACACAAUAUAUGUAUUUUUUCGUCUUUUUAGGGCCACACCUGUGCAUAUGGAAGUUCCCAGGCUAGGGGUCAAAUCAGAGCUAUAGCUGCCGGCCUAAGACACAGCCACAGCAGUGCAGGUUCUGAGUUGUGACAGCCACCUACACCACAGCUCACAGCAAUGCUGGAUCCUUAACUCACUGAGCAAGGCCAGGGAUCGAACCCUCGUCCUCAUGGGUACUAGUCGGGUUCGUUAACCACUGAGCCACGACAGGAACUCCUGAACAUAAUAUUUUAUUGCUUAUGUUAUGCCUAUUAAAUAUUUUUCGUUUUAAGGACUUAGAAAAUACUCUCAUUUACUUUUAAUUUUCUAAACAAAUAUCUAAUUUUUAUAUAGGAAAUAAAAUUUUUAAUAGUAUUUGUUUAAGUCUCUUAGUGAAUGAGUUAUGCUCAUUAAACAUGUCAGGAUAUGUAAUCAUUUUUUGAAAAGGAAACCCUCCUGUUUAUUUAUUUUUAUUUAUUCUUUGCUUUUUAGGGGUGCACCUGCGGCAUAUGGAGGUGGGUUAAGGAUCCAGUGUUGCCGUGAGCUGUGGUUGUGUAGGCUGCAGAGGCGGCUCAAAUCCCAUGUUGCUGUGGCUGUUGUGUAGGCCAGCAACUGUGGCUCUGAUUAGACCCCUAGCCUGGGAACUUCCAUAUGCCACGGGUGCAGCCCUUAAAAAAAA